rnacentral:lncRNA from 1 species
UCUACUUCUCUAAUUGCUAUCUAAUCAAACCUCUAAACUCGAAGGAUUAGGGAGUAGCUAAUUCUAAUUCUCUGUGGGAGAGAAGCUCUAAACCUUAACUUUGAUGGCUACCUCUGCAUAAUGAUUUCUUCUCAUCUCCUCCCUCCUCCAGGGGUGGAGAGGCCUUGGUUAUAUAGUCUUUUCAAGUGAAUUUGGGCCGUCGGAUCAAACCGAC